AUACGGAGGGUGCGAGCGUUAAUCGGAAUUACUGGGCGUAAAGGGCGCGUAGGCGGUUUUUUAAGUCAGAUGUGAAAGCCCUGGGCUUAACCUGGGAAUGGCAUUCGAUACUGCAGAGCUAGAGUAUGGUAGAGGGAAGUGGAAUUUCCGGUGUAGCGGUGAAAUGCGUAGAUAUCGGAAGGAACACCAGUGGCGAAGGCGACUUCCUGGGCCAAUACUGACGCUGAGGUGCGAAAGCGUGGGGAGCAAACAGGAUUAGAUACCCCGGUAGUCC
rnacentral:rRNA from 1 species